rnacentral:rRNA from 1 species
GCUUAAUACAUGCAAGUCAACUUGACUUUAGAUAGCAAUAUCGAAAAGUAGGGUGGCGCACGGGUGCGUAACGCGUAGGUAAUCUGCCCUGAGGUCUGACAUAACCCGUCGAAAGGCGGGCUAACAUCAGAUGAUAUAUAAUCACGACAUCGUGGAAAUAUCAAAUCUUCGGAGCCUUGGGAUGAGCCUGCGUCUGAUUAGGUAGUUGGCGGAGUAAUAGCCCACCAAGCCUACGAUCAGUAGCUGGUCUGAGAGGAUGAUCAGCCACACUGGAACUGAGACACGGUCCAGACUCCUACGGGAGGCAGCAGUAAGGAAUAUUGCUCAAUGGGGGGAAACCCUGAAGCAGCAACGCCGCGUGAAGGAUGAAAUACUUUUGUAUGUAAACUUCUGUAAGAUGGGAAAAAUAUUCUCCUCGGGAGAAUUGAUUGUACCAUCAGAGUAAGCCCCGGCUAACUACGUG